rnacentral:rRNA from 1 species
AACGUAGGACACAAGCGUUAUCCGGAGUUACUGGGCGUAAAGGGCGUUUAGGCGGGUGAUUAAGUUCGCUAUGAAAGCGCCAGGCUAAACCUGGCGAGGCUGGCGGAUACUGGUCAUCUGGAGUGAGUCAGAGGAAGGUAGAAUUCCGCGUGUAGUGGUGAAAUGCGUAGAGAUGCGGAGGAAUACCAGUGGCGAAGGCGGCCUUCUGGGACUCAACUGACACUGAGGAACGAAAGCGUGGGGAGCGAACAGG